rnacentral:lncRNA from 1 species
ACCACACAUGAGGAUUAUGCUAUUAGGACAGAAUGACAGAACAGAUUAUAUAACAAUAAAUUAUAUAACAACAGGCACAAAUUAUAUAACUAGAAAAUUACGCACUAAAAUAAAGGUUAGAAUGCAAAAGCACACACAGCAAUACAAAUGUGAAGGCUUUGGGCCAUAAAACAAAAACUCUUUCAUGUCUGGAUAUCUAAAAAUCCAGUUUGUCUAAGCUGAGGACCAUUGCAACUGAACUCUAGAAGUUCAAGAACUUACCUGGGCAAGUGUGUUGGUCUGCUUUCUAUUACUGUGACAAACAGUAUGAGAUUAAUCAGCUUAAAAAGAGGAAAGGCUUAUUUUAGAGGAAAUGUUCAUGAUCCGUUGGUUCCAGUGCUUUGGGCCUGUGGUGAAACAACAUAUCAUGCCAGGAAAUAAGAAGAAAGACAGAAAGAGACCAGCACCUCACAGUGCCCUUUAGGACAAAAUCUCAAUGACCUCAAAACUCCCUCUAGGGGCUAUCUCUUAAAGGUUCCACCACCACAUAAUGGCAUCAAACUAGGAACCCAACCUUUCACAGGUAGGCUUCUGAGGGCCACAUAUCCAAACAGCAGCAGCAUUCACUCAGGGCAGAAAGUUUAGUGUCUUUGUAAGCCAAAGGUGCCCAAUAAUUGCUGUGGCUGAAUUUGCUUGUCUCCCACAGCCAUUCAGAAUCCCACCCUGCCUCCCACUCCUCCACCUGCCUGAUAUAUUGUAAGCCACUUCAAAUCUUGGAAGCAGCCAGAGUCUCAAUUAUAAAUGUCAAAUAACUCAACUGUAUUUCCAAUAAUAAGAGUAUCUAUUUUACCUAGGAAUCUUCUUUGCUUGCUUGGUAUCCCACUG